UUUUUUAUUUCCGUAAAAAAAAUCGUGUCCGCUCCGUGUCGGUUCUAGACGUUACUUCUGCUUUUUUCGGAAGUUACCGGGAUUUAUCGAUACUUGAAAAAAUGGGUGACAGAAUAGCGUUGUCGUCUACUGUAAAGAUAAAAUACAAACACAUCUAAAGUUGUGCCCAUAAUAGUCAACAGACUCUACAGUUUCUCCAAACACUGUACAUGGAAUGAGGUUUUGAAUGAUUUGACAGCGGACGGCGACCAUAACAUAGACAAGUUGGACGAAGUAACUGUCACCGUGUCGGACAAACUUGCCAACGGUGUAACUUUUGAGCCAGAUUUUGAAGAACAGAUACAAGUGGUUCACAACUUUGAUAAAAAAUUGAAAUAUGUACAAUUUGACGUGAUAAGAGACUUAGAACCAAAUAACAAUGUACCAAAAGGUCAAAAUCCUCCUACAUGUCCUACAGCUUUCGAUGUUUUGAUGAGAAAGUCCAGCACACUGACAAAGCUCCCUCAAAAGAUUGAUGAAGCCUCUCCCAGAUUUACAGGGUCGCAGCUAUACAUUGUGAGGGGGUGGACAGGGGUGUCUCCAAUUCCCUCGAGAUUUAAGAGCCUUGAAGCACACAACAGAUAAAUAUGACUACACUUGCGGGGCAAUUUUAGCACCAGAAGGGGAUGUUCUACAUGGAAAAGUUUUCACAAGACUCCAGCUUGUAUGUACCAGUCACAUUGAAUUUGCAUACUACAGCUCGGAUGUUGGCCGCAAAGACAUAUGUGCAUAUUGUGUUGCAACAGAGAUCCAAAAGGACAAGGACUUGUGCAAAAACUUUAAAGUUGUGCUGCCAGUUUGUGACUUGUGUCGUUCAAAAAAAUUGGAAGUCCCAAAGAGAAAUCCAAUUAAGAAAUAGUUAAUUCUAGUCUGACAAUCAGUUAAUUCUAGUCUGAUAUUCAUCCUCUCUAAGUCAUUCUUUUUAACAUGUUGUUUAUGAUUUUUGUUUCUACUUGUUUCUAGUCAAGAAUAAAUGUUUUUUGUUUAUUUUCA